GCUAAGUUCGUGCCAGCAGCCGCGGUAAGACGAACCGUGCGAACGUUGUUCGGAAUCACUGGGCUUAAAGGGCGCGUAGGCGGGCUGUCAAGUCUGGGGUGAAAUCCCACGGCUCAACCGUGGAACUGCCUUAGAUACUGACGGCCUCGAGGGAGGUAGGGGCGAGCGGAACUGUGAGUGGAGCGGUGAAAUGCGUUGAUAUUCACAGGAACUCCGGUGGCGAAGGCGGCUCGCUGGAUCUCUUCUGACGCUGAGGCGCGAAAGCUAGGGGAGCAAACGGGAUUAGAUACCCUGGUAGUC
rnacentral:rRNA from 1 species